GAUGAAGAACGCAGCGAAAUGCGAUAAGUAAUGUGAAUUGCAGAAUUCAGUGAAUCAUCGAAUCUUUGAACGCACAUUGCGCCCGCUAGUAUUCUGGCGGGCAUGCCUGUUCGAGCGUCAUUUCAACCAUCAAGCCCCCGGGCUUGUGUUGGGGACCUGCGGCUGCCGCAGGCCCUGAAAAGCAGUGGCGGGCUCGCUGUCACACCGAGCGUAGUAGAUUUUAUCUCGCUCUGGGCGUGCUGCGGGUUCCUGCCGUUAAACCACCCUUUUAACCCAAGGUUGACCUCGGAUCAGGUAGGAAGACCCGCUGAACUUAAGCAUAUCAAUAAGCGGAGGA
rnacentral:misc_RNA from 1 species